rnacentral:misc_RNA from 1 species
UGUACUUGCUAUCCUUUGGCAUCAAGAUAUCGUUAAGCCUGGUAUAACCAUAGCUAUCCAAUUCUUGUGGCAGCAGAAUAGCCAUCUAUCAGAAUACAUAUAUAUAAAUAUAGGUCUUCGACUAUAAUGAUAUGCAUGCAAACACAGCGGUGAUGACUGAGACGAUAUUCCUUCCUGGUGUUCUGCAGUUGGGACACUAGAUAGACGAUCCUUUCUGUUAAGAUUACAAAAUUUCGAAGGAGGGGGUCCUAUAGUUUCUUCUUCUUCCUGAAAAUAUAAACGUCAGUCUCCUCAUAGGCGUAUUCUGGAUGUAAAUGCUCGUGUGGAACCUUUUCGACGUCAAACAUCUCUCCACAAAGCUCCCAGAACUUCUCAUGCGCCUCAGGAGAUCUCAGCUGAUACCCCAACAAAACGACACCGUUUUCUCCCACCAAAGCAUCCAUAGCCGACAGCAACGGACCAACCGUCUCCUCCAAGUACACCACAUCGGCGGCGAUGACGACAUCAAACGGCGGGCCGAGUGAUUUUAUCUGAUCCUGAUUGGACCAGUUCAACUGAGCCGUCUUCAAACUCUUCUUCAAAACAGGCUUGUUUCGCUUCAGAUUGUGCUUUAGGGCUGGCAUAACCGGAGCAAUAUCGGUGAUAACGACGUUGUUUAGACCUAAUAAGAAAAGCCCCAUCGCUGCUACUCCACAGCCGGCUCCGAGCUCUACACCGCGCUUGUUGUGAAAGUUAAGGAUUUCAGCAUAGGGAUUUGGGUUCACGGCGCAUGUUUGAGGAUGCCACCGUUCACCGAACUUGACAAGGACUAGUGAACAGGGCCAUACACUGGUGCCGACAUGCAUAGAUCCAUUGUCUUGAUGGAAAGCUAGCUGAGAAUCGAGGACUUUAAGGUCGAUCACCGGCGAGUCAGUGAACUUCAUUAUCUCUUCAAGGUCGAUCACCG